GGUAUGGAGUAUCGUGAUGGUAUGGAGUAUCGUGAUGGUAUGGAGUAUCGUGAUGGUAUGGAGUAUUGUGAUGGUAUGGAGUAGUGUGAUGGUAUGGAGUAUCGUGAUGGUAUGGAGUAUUGUGAUGGUAUGGAGUAUUGUGAUGGUAUAGAGUAGUGUGAUGGUAUGGAGUAUUGUGAUGGUAUAGAGUAUGGAUGAUGGUAUAGAGUAGUGUGAUGGUAUGGAGUAUGGAUGAUGGUAUGGAGUAUGGAUGAUGGUAUAGAGUAGUGUGAUGGUAUAGAGUAUGGAUGAUGGUAUGGAGUAUCGUGAUGGUAUGGAGUAUUGUGAUGGUAUGGAGUAUUGUGAUGGUAUAGAGUAUGGAUGAUGGUACAGAGUAGUGUGAUGGUAUAGAGUAGUGUGAUGGUAUAGAGUAUGGAUGAUGGUAUAGAGUAUGGAUGAUGGUAUAGAGCAGUGUGAUGGUAUAGAGUAUGGAUGAUGGUAUAGAGUAUGGAUGAUGGUAUAGAGUAUGGGUGAUGGUAUAGAGUAGUGCGAUGGUAUGGAGUAUGGAUGAUGGUAUAGAGUAGUGUGAUGGUAUAGAGCAUUGUGAUGGUAUAGAGUAGUGUGAUUGUAUGGAGUAUGGAUGAUGGUAUAGAGUAUUGUGAUGGUAUGGAGUAUGGAUGAUGGUAUAGAGUAUGGAUGAUGGUAUAGAGUAGUGUGAUGGUAUAGAGUAGUGUGAUGGUAUGGAGUAUGGAUGAUGGUAUAGAGUAGUGUGAUGGUAUAGAGUAGUGUGAUGGUAUGGAGUAUGGAUGAUGGAAUAGAGUAGUGUGAUGGUAUGGAUGAUGGUAUAGAGUAGUGUGAUGGUAUAGAGUAGUGUGAUGGUAUAGAGUAGUGUGAUGGUAUGGAGUAUUGUGAUGGUAUGGAGUAGUGUGAUGGUAUGGAGUAUGGAUGAUGGUAUAGAGUAGUGUGAUGGUAUGGAGUAUGGAUGAUGGUAUAGAGUAGUGUGAUGGUAUGGAGUAUUGUGAUGGUAUGGAGUAGUGUGAUGGUAUGGAGUAGUUGUGAUGGUAUAGAGUAGUGUGAUGGUAUGGAGUAUGGAUGAUGGUAUAGAGUAGUGUGAUGGUAUAGAGUAGUGUGAUGGUAUAGAGUAGUGUGAUGGUAUGGAGUAGUGUGAUGGUAUGGAGUAUGGAUGAUGGUAUAGAGUCGUGUGAUGGUAUGGAGUAUGGAUGAUGGUAUAGAGUAGUGUGAUGGUAUGGAGUAUUGUGAUGGUAUGGAGUAGUGUGAUGGUAUGGAGUAUUGUGAUGGUAUGGAGUAGUGUGAUGGUAUGGAGUAUGGAUGAUGGUAUAGAGUAGUGUGAUGGUAUAGAGUAUUGUGAUGGUAUAGAGUAGUGUGAUGGUAUGGCACAUUACAUUAUCUAUACUUUACCUGUACAUUGCCUACACAUUACCUGCACAUUACCUGCACAUUACCUGCACAUUACCUACACAUUACCCAUACAUUACCUGCACAUCACCUACACAUUACCCAUACAUUACCUGCACAUCACCUAUACAUUGCCUACACAUUACCCAUACAUUACCUACACAUUACCCAUACAUUACCUGCACAUCACCUAUAUAUUGCCUACACAUUACCUACACAUUGCC
ensembl:lncRNA